AUUGAACGCUGGCGGCAUGCUUUACACAUGCAAGUCGAACGGUAACAGGGUGCUUGCACCGCUGACGAGUGGCGAACGGGUGAGUAAUGCGUCGGAACGCACCGAGUAAUGGGGGAUAACGCAGCGAAAGCUGUGCUAAUACCGCAUACGCUCUGAGGAGGAAAGCGGGGGACCUUCGGGCCUCGCGUUAUUCGAGCGGCCGACGUCUGAUUAGCUAGUAGGUGAGGUAAGAGCUCACCUAGGCGACGAUCAGUAGCGGGUCUGAGAGGAUGGUCCGCCAGACUGGGAGUGAGACACGGCCCAGACUCCUACGGGAGGCAACAGUGGGGAAUUUUGGACAAUGGGCGCAAGCCUGAUCCAGCCAUGCCGCGUGUCUGAAGAAGGCCUUCGGGUUGUAAAGGACUUUUGUCAGGGAGGAAAUCCUUAGCGCUAAUACCGUUGAGGGAUGACAGUACCUGAAGAAUAAGCACCGGCUAACUACGUGCCAGCCGCCGCGGUAA
rnacentral:rRNA from 1 species